rnacentral:rRNA from 1 species
AGUGAACGCUGGCGGUAGGCCUAACACAUGCAAGUCGAACGGCAGCACAGUAAGAGCUUGCUCUUACGGGUGGCGAGUGGCGGACGGGUGAGGAAUACAUCGGAAUCUACUUUUUCGUGGGGGAUAACGUAGGGAAACUUACGCUAAUACCGCAUACGACCUACGGGUGAAAGCAGGGGAUCUUCGGACCUUGCGCGAUUGAAUGAGCCGAUGUCGGAUUAGCUAGUUGGCGGGGUAAAGGCCCACCAAGGCGACGAUCCGUAGCUGGUCUGAGAGGAUGAUCAGCCACACUGGAACUGAGACACGGCCCAGACUCCUACGGGAGGCAGCAGUGGGGAAUAGUGGACAAUGGGCGCAAGCCUGAUCCAGCCAUACCGCGUGGGUGAAGAAGGCCUUCGGGUUGUAAAGCCCUUUUGUUGGGAAAGAAAAGCAGCAGGUUAAUACCCCGCUGUUCUGACGGUACCCAAAGAAUAAGCACCGGCUAACUUCGUG